rnacentral:lncRNA from 1 species
UUAUAUGAGAAUAUGUCAUGGGUAGUGAUAGACCUUUAAUUUACCUUUGAAUUGGAUGAUUAUGAUGAAUUUGUGGAAAUAAUUGAUGAACGAAAUGGGGUGAUAAUCGAAAGAAAUUCGUAGGAAUUGUAUGUGAUAAUGUUAGGAGUUGUGAAAUCGAAUAGGGAAUGAUUCGGAUUAGAUGAUAUGAGUGAUUUCUGUGUAAAUGUGGACUGUGGAAGGUUAGAUCGAAUAG